AAAAUCCGUCGACUUUUAAAAUCGUGGUCCCUCUAUCCCCA
rnacentral:tRNA from 1 species